rnacentral:lncRNA from 1 species
UUUUUUUACUAUACCCCUGCUAUUCGCCCGUAAUUAUUUUGAGUGUACAAUUCAUGUUUUCCCAGACAAGCUUCCCCAAGCAGCAGAAUCCCCAGUAGGCAUUACACCAGCCAUAAUACCAAGGGCAUAAUAUAAACACUGAUUUGAAUUCUUUCCAAUCCUGUCUAGAGAUUAGGCAUAUUGGAGGUAGCCAAAAGGUAUUUAUUUUUUAAUAACCAAAAAUGUUUAAAUCUACUAAACUCUCAUUCUCACUAAAAGUUCUAAGACUUAGACUUGUUUCUGGAAAGUGAGCAAGGAUUUUUUCCCCCUUCCUCUCUUUUUUCUCUUCCUUCAUUUGGCUACAUAAAAAUGCUAAGGACCGUACAUAACAUAAUAUAUGCAUAACAUCUUUCAAGGAGACACUCUGAAGUCUUAAUAUACUGCACAGUGAGUCAAAGGUGAAAGUCUAUCAUUGGAAAAUAAUCUAAGGCCAUCCUUGCAGGCUUGGCCCCUGGGUACCAUCCAGCCCUUCUGAUAUAU